rnacentral:rRNA from 1 species
AGCGCAACCCUUGUGUUUAGUUUGCAAACAGGUCAAGCUGUGCACUCUAGACAGACUGCCGUGGACAACACGGAGGAAGGUGGGGAUGACGUCAAAUCAUCAUGCCCCUUAUGACCUGGGCUACAAACGUGAUACAAUGGCUGGAACAAAGGGAUGCGAAGCAGUGAUGUGGAGCGAAACCCAUAAAAACAGUCUCAGUUCGGAUUGAAGUCUGCAACUCGACUUCAUGAAGUCGGAAUCGCUAGUAAUCGCGGAUCAGAACGCCGCGGUGAAUACGUUCUCGGGGUUU